rnacentral:rRNA from 1 species
GACGAAUGCCUAGGGACAAGUUGCCGAAGAAGGACGUGUAAGCGACGAAACGUCCAGGGGAGCUGCACAAGAGCGUUGAUCCUGGAAUCUCCGAAUGGGGAAACCCAGCUAGAGUUAUGUCUAGUUACUCUUUCCUGAAUACAUAGGGAUCGAAGAGGGAACCUGGUGAACUGAAACAUCUAAGUAACCAGAGGAAAAGAAAUCGA